AUUGAACGCUGGCGGCAGGCCUAACACAUGCAAGUCGAACGGCAGCACAGAAGAGCUUGCUCCUUGGGUGGCGAGUGGCGGACGGGUGAGUAAUGUCUGGGAAACUGCCCGAUGGAGGGGGAUAACUACUGGAAACGGUAGCUAAUACCGCAUAACGUCGCAAGACCAAAGUGGGGGACCUUCGGGCCUCACACCAUCGGAUGUGCCCAGAUGGGAUUAGCUAGUAGGUGGGGUAAUGGCUCACCUAGGCGACGAUCCCUAGCUGGUCUGAGAGGAUGACCAGCCACACUGGAACUGUGACACGUGCCAGACUCCUACGGGAGGCAGCAGUCGGGAAUAUUGCACAAUGGGGGCAAGCCUGAUGCAGCCAUGCCGCGGGUAUGAAGAAGGCCGUCGGGUUGUAAAGUACCUUCCGCGGGGAGGAAGGCGGUGAGGUUAAUAACCUUGCCUAUUUACGUUACCCGCAGCAGAAGCACCGGCUAACUCCGUGCCGCCCGCCGCCGUAA
rnacentral:rRNA from 1 species